GGCCGUUGAUGGCCCCACCGUUCAGGCUGGGUUGCUUCUCCUGCAUCUCCGACUGGCUGUCGCUGGCCACGUCCAGCGUGGGAUUGUCGUGGCAGCCGUUCUCCACGAAGCGCAGCUCCUCACCGUGCGACUGCAGCAGCAGCAGGAGAGAGCGCUAGGCGCGCAUAGUGGCUUGCCACGCUAAGCCCCCAGGGUCAGAAAGGAAACAAUGGACUGCUGGAUGAGAGACGUGAAGUCUACAUACAGUGCUUGGGAAAAGGUACACCAACAGCACUGUCUCUCUGCCUGGGGAAGAUGGGACAUCUUCUCUUUUCUGUUUCAUCUUCUACCCCCACAUCUCAUGCUGGGAAUGAACCCAAGAUUGUGCUGAGCAGCACCACAGAGCCACACCCUCGCCCUGGGAGUUCAUGUUUUCAAGAGUAAAACAGAGUUCCUGUGACCAUGGA